rnacentral:misc_RNA from 1 species
GAUGAAGAACGCAGCGAAAUGCGAUAAGUAAUGUGAAUUGCAGAAUUCAGUGAAUCAUCGAAUCUUUGAACGCACAUUGCGCCCGCCAGCAUUCUGGCGGGCAUGCCUGUUCGAGCGUCAUUUCAACCCUCGAGCCCCCCCGGGGGCCUCGGUGUUGGGGGACGGCGCACCAGCCGCCCCCGAAAUGCAGUGGCGACCCCGCCGCAGCCUCCCCUGCGUAGUAGCACACACCUCGCACCGGAGCGCGGAGGCGGUCACGCCGUAAAACGCCCAACUUUCUUAGAGUUGACCUCGGAUCAGGUAGGAAUACCCGCUGAACUUAAGCAUAUCAAUAAGCGGAGGA